AUACGUAUGUCGCAAGCGUUAUCCGGAUUUAUUGGGCGUAAAGCGCGUCUAGGCGGCUUAGUAAGUCUGAUGUGAAAAUGCGGGGCUCAACCCCGUAUUGCGUUGGAAACUGCUAAACUAGAGUACUGGAGAGGUAGGCGGAACUACAAGUGUAGAGGUGAAAUUCGUAGAUAUUUGUAGGAAUGCCGAGGGGGAAGCCAGCCUACUGGACAGAUACUGACGCUAAAGCGCGAAAGCGUGGGUAGCAAACAGGAUUAGAUACCCUGGGAGUCCACGCCGUAAACGAUGAUUACUAGGUGUUGGGGGUCGAACCUCAGCGCCCAAGCUAACGCGAUAAGUAAUCCGCCUGGGGAGUACGUACGCAAGUAUGAAACUCAAAGGAAUUGACGGGG
rnacentral:rRNA from 1 species